rnacentral:rRNA from 1 species
GACGAACGCUGGCGGCGUGCUUAACACAUGCAAGUCGAGCGGAGCGGCGAACGGGCGAGCAACGCGUGAGUAACUGCCCCCCUCUCUGGGGUAACAGUUGGAAACGGCUGCUAAUACCGGAUAGUGGGGGAUGACUCGCGUCCUAUCAGCUUGUUGGUGGGGUAGUGGCCUACCGAGGCGACGACGGGUAGCCGGCCUGAGAGGGCGACCGGCCACAUUUGGCUACGAUACGCCCCAAACUCCUACAGGGGGCAGCAGUGGGGAAUAUUGCACAAUGAGGGAAACCCUGAUGCAGCGACGCCGCGUGCGGGAUGUCGGCCUUCGGGUUGUCAACCGCUUUCAGCCAUGACGCGGUAGUGGCAGAAGAAGCACCGGCUAACUACGUGCCAGCAGCCGCGGUAAUAC